GUGCGUGUGCGCGUGUGUGUGUGUGUGCGCGCACGCUCUCACUGCUUCACUGCUGCUGAAAAAGAAAAUGUUGAACGUUCUCUCCAGGUUUUUCUCCAGCUCGGCCUCUGCAACACCCUGUAAAACACACACACAGUGCAGAGUUAUUAACAUAUUCUAAAAUUACAACUUUAUCUUGUAAUAAGACUUUUUUCUUAUAAUAUUAAGAGUUGUCUUAGCUAACAGUGUUACUCACUGGUUUUUGGAAGUAGAGCUGGUAGUCGAAUACGGGCUCGGCCUUCAUUCUCUCUGCAGGAUGAACAGACGGAUCCACCGGGAACAGAGGAGUGUUCAGAGACGCCACAGCCCUUCACACACAAGAAAACAACACAUUCCACUGCUUCUCAAGAUUUGAAACUUAAAACUACACUAAAAACUAGAAGCAAAACCUCAUGGUUGUUUUUCUCAACCAAGCAGGGUGUUCACCUGACUCUCUCAGGAAAAUACUGAGCCAUGGUCCAGACCAGGAAGCCGCCCCAGUCGUGACCCACCAGGGUGACCUGAGGUAUCGCCUGGGAAACGACACAACACACAACUGAGCUGAUGAAAAGUUGAUGUCCUUGCAUGUUUCUUUUUUUCUAUUUCAUGACGAAUCAUAGUUCGAUCUGAUUUAAUUGAAUUAUUGUGGUGUUCAGGUUAAAUUAUGUGUCACUCACCAUUUUGUCAAGAAACUUGAUUAAAUCCUGAAAAAGAUCAAAAGCAGCAUCAUGUUACCAUUAGUGUGGAGGCUACAGUAAGACAAUAACAUUAAAACAAAUGGUUUAAUAACGUUUUUUGAACAUAAAUUUGGUGACAUGGAGCUGGAGGACGUCAGCGGUCGACCGCACACCUCAAUCCAGAUUAAUAAUUACUUUUAAUGGAUUAAUAAAUCGUACCUUGCAGAGCUGCUCCUGAGAAUAUUCCUCGAUAUCUGUUGGAGGGAAAAUGACACGUGACUCGCAGAUGAAUUGACACAUAUACAUCACCUGGGGGCGCUGUGGACUCUCCAUAUCCCUUCAUGUCCAGAGCCAACACCCUGAACCCUGCGGCUGCCAUGGCCGGGAUCUACCAGGUAGUAAAAAAAAAACAACAAGAAGUAAAUAAUAAUUUUGUAUUUGUUUGUGCACAUGUAGUAAAAUCCUGUUUGACUGUUGGAUCCAUACCUGGAACCUCCAAGAGAACCAGCUCUCUGGGAAGCCGUGACACAGCAGGACCGGUGGACCUGAACCCAUUUCCACAUAGUGAGUCCGGACACCAGGCUGAGAGAAAAAGAGCGGACUGGUCCUUUAAUCACACCAACCUGACUGCAUCUCACUGCCACAACAACUGACACGGACACGGACAUUACCCUGAUGGUGACGUAUCCAUGGGAAACCUCCUCCGGGCUGCAGGACGCUGGAGAAGUCUCUGCACUCACAGCCUGGAACAACACAAGUUAGCACAUUGUCAUGCCAAUGUAAUGUGUUCACAUCGUAUCCAAUUUAUUUUACCAUUCAUUUAUUUAUAUAAUCAUCAUAUAAGCCCUUUUUCGAGAACAGUGGUUGCCACAAAUGUUUCUCCGGACAUUUUCCAGAGUCUAUUUGAAAACAGCUUAAGAUAUCCAGUGAAAACAUUCACAUGAAACCGUUUCUCAUAAAGCGUCAGAUUUCUACUUCUCAUUUUUCCACUGUGCAACAAAGAUAAAACUUCAUUAACUCAAAGGAAAAAGUUUUCAUCACUUUAAAAAGACAAUCGUCUGACACUGUGAGAACGUGAGAACUUCUCAGUAGCUGCUCGUAUUCGAACCCUCAGACUGGUCCGCACCUGAACUCCAGUAAAUUUGGCCAGUUGGUCCAAUGCGUCAUCCAGGUUGUUCACCGUGACGACCCUCAUCCCGGCUGCUUCUGCCGCCUUCACACCGUCCUCAUCGACAUCCAGCCACACGGCCUGAAAUUAUUUUGUAUUACAUUACAAUAAAAGAAUGUCAAUGUUAUAGUAUCGAUCAUAUUCCACCUGUUGUGAUGUCACUCCCAGGUGCAGCAGGGCAGAGGUGAACAUGGAUGGCUCGGGGACCCUGUGACCUGAGCGGCAGGACUGGAAGACCAGGUCAAAAUGGCCGCCCAGCAGAGAGAGAAGGCGGGACGGACGAUCUCCAUCUGCACUGUCAUCUAGCCAGUGAUUGGCCAGGACAGCUGUCAGUAAACCUGAAGGGCGGGGCAGAGGGAGGAGUUUGAAUUCAAAAGUCCUCCUCGCCCUCUGCUGGUCAUUCCUGAGAAUACAGGUUUCACUUUCCGAACACGGUGUGUUCAGCAUGUUGUGUACCGCUGCGACGCAGACGUGCAGCUGUCUUCAGUACAGCUGGUUGGACGUCCAUCAUGGCCUCUCUGAAUUCCUCCAGCAGGCGUCUGACUGACCAAUCAGACGGCAGCGUCACACCCC